rnacentral:rRNA from 10 species
GCUUACGGCCAUACCACCUUAGGCACGCCCGAUCUCGGAAGCUAAGCAGGGUCGGGCCUGGUUAGUACUUGGAUGGGUGACCGCCUGGGACUACCUGGUGCUGUAAGCA